rnacentral:rRNA from 1 species
AACGUUGCGGCGGGCUUAACACAUGCAAGUCGAACGGGCUGUUCCGUUCGGGGGCAGUCAGUGGCGCACGGGUGCGUAACACGUAGGUAAUCAACCCUCUGGUUGGGGAUAACACUUACGAAAGGAGUGCUAAUACCCGGUAUGGCGCAGCGGUCUUCGGAUCGCGGCGAGAAAGACCCGCAAGGGUUGCCAGAGGACGAGCCUGCGGCCCAUCAGCUAGUUGGCGAGGUAACGGCUCACCAAGGCGAAGACGGGUAGCUGGUCUGAGAGGAUGAUCAGCCACACUGGAACUGAGACACGGUCCAGACUCCUACGGGAGGCAGCAGUGGGGAAUAUUGCGCAAUGGGCGAAAGCCUGACGCAGCCACGCCGCGUGUGUGAAGAAGGCCCUUGGGUUGUAAAGCACUUUCAAUUGGGAAGAAAGGUUGCGUGUUAAUAGCACGUAGCUGUGACGUUACCUUUAGAAGAAGCACCGGCUAACUCCGUG